GGAACCCGAAAGCCUGUCUCAGUUCGGAUUGGAGUCUGCAACCCGACUCCAUGAAGCUGGAUUCGCUAGUAAUCGCGCAUCAGCCACGGCGCGGUGAAUACGUUCCCGGGCCUUGUACACACCGCCCGUCAAGCCAUGGAAGCCGGGGGUGCCUGAAGUGCGCUGCCGCAAGGAGCGCCCUAGGGUAAAACCGGUGACUGGGGCUAAGUCGUAACAAGGUAUC
rnacentral:rRNA from 1 species